GUCCAGACUCCUACGGGAGGCAGCAGUGGGGAAUAUUGCACAAUGGGGGGAACCCUGAUGCAGCGACGCCGCGUAGGUGAAGGAGCACCUCGGUGCGUAAAGCCCUAUCGGCAGGGAAGAAACAGACGGUACCUGACUAAGAAGCCCCGGCUAACCACGUGCCAGCAGCCGCGGUAAUACGUAGGGGGCAAGCGUUAUCCGGAUUCACUGGGUGUAAAGGGAGCGUAGACGGCGACGCAAGGCUGGAGUGAAAGCCCGGGGCCCAACCCCGGGACUGCUCUGGAAACUGCGGCGCUGGAGUACGGGAGGGGCAGGCGGAAUUCCUGGUGUAGCGGUGAAAUGCGUAGAUAUCAGGAGGAACACCGGCGGCGAAGGCGGCCUGCUGGGCUUUUACUGACGCUGAGGCUCGAAAGUGUGGGGAGCAAACAGGAUUAGAUACCCGCGUACU
rnacentral:rRNA from 1 species